UAUACUUUAAUGCGUACAAGAAGUAUCUGUCGAUUGUACACCUCACUAUAUUUGAACUUCUUUGUUGCUCUUUGAGACUCAUACAACAUCCAUCCCGUGAUGAAGAGAGAACAACUUUGCACGAGGACCGCAACAAAUGAAUGUUACAUACCUGGGCUCGAAUUCCCAAGGGAGGACUGUAAAGAAAAAAACAAAAGGGUCACGUCAGGGGUCAGCAACAGUACCCGGAUGAAGAACCCCGCCCACCUGAGAUGCAGAAGUACAAUCCUUCAACACACCUCCAAACUCCCAUUGCUUUGAAUCAUGCGUCAUUUUCUUGUCACAAACGAUACAAAGACCUUCAUUAACCGUAAAGAUGGGAACGUUGAAGGGCGCAGCGGGGCAGAGCCCUAGGUGUCACCUGUGCGUCUCACAGCAGCGAUGGUGCGUUCAAGGACCGCCGAACAAAGUGUGAAAUCUCAGCGCUUGACGAAAAACAUUAUCAGUGACGCAUAAAGAC